rnacentral:lncRNA from 1 species
CUUCACUGAGUGGAAUCAUAAGAAAAAUCAUAUAAGGUAAGAUAUUUUGUGGCAGGAAUUGGUGCUACUCCAACGUUGCAGAUUUCCUUGACAGUCUCAAAACUAUAAGGAAUAUUGGGAUAUUUGGUCCCUGUUAAAAUGAAUCCUCCCCCAAAAUUUAGGGUUUGACUGAGAUGAGUAUUGUGGAUCAAGGCUGAGAGAGGUUUGGAGGUCCUUGCUGCCAAUUUAUGAUCAACAGGAAAACCCAAAAAUAACCAAACAAUACCAGACAUCACGUCCCAAUUAGAAAAACAAAACAAAACAAAAUUAGCCAAAGGGAAUGUGUGCUUAUCUGGAAUAAGAAGCCACUGUGAAACAAAGCUAACACGAAACAUCUCCUUCUGCCCAGAUGACAUCCUAGGAGAAUGCUUUGCCAAAUUUAUGUUUAAAGAUGGAAAGAGUGUUCCUGGAGCUCCAAACUAGUGAUGUCCUUGGUAAAAGGACAAAGUUGUUAAGGGAAUCCUCUGCAAGCAAACUUGACAGCCCCUGAAUGAACCCUUGGAAAGUGCAAGACCACCAGAAUAUCAGGUCAUAGUGAGUCAUAAAUGGGCAAUCUGUUGUGCGGAUUGAGGCUAUGCAUUGUGGAGCCACUUGAAAGUGGAUGUGAAUCCUGGCCCUGCCACAUUCCAUCUGUAAGAGUGGACAAGUCAUUUAACCUCUCUACACCCCAAAUUCCUUAACUAAUUCUGCCACACAUGGGAAAGAAGGGGAAAAAGAGGGAAACAGCAAGCCUAAGAAACGUGACAUUUGAAGCUUUGGAAGCAUGUUAUGAUCCACAAAGCAAUGUGAAACACAAAGUGAUACAGGGGAAAUGAGACAGGUAAACUUGGAUGCUUAAAAGGCAAGAUAAGGCUUUUAAUACAAAUACAAAUAUGUAUAGGAAAAUCAUGUAUAAAAGGCACAGAACCACACAAUUAUUACCAAGAGUGUUAUUUUGGAGUCCAAUUAUAAAGAGAGCAGGUCAACAACAGCAACAAUGGCUUGCACAUUAACAAGAGCUUAUUAUGCAUCAGGUGAUAUGCUAAAUGCUCACCAUGGAUGUCUUAUUUUAUAUUCAUAAGAAUCCUAUGAACACAAUAUAAAUGGUUAAUUAAUUGAUCUUUGGCAUACAUAUUGGGGAAGUCCCAAGACAUUGGAUUUUUUUUAAGGUUUACAAUGAGAUGUUUUGAUAUAUGUGUAAUUGUGAGAUAAUUACCAUAAUCAAGCUAAUUAACAUAUCCAUCACUUCACAUAGUUCCCAUUUUGUAACAUAUGGUGAGAACACUUUAACGUCUACUCUUAGAAAAUUUCAACUAUACAAUACUACAUUAUUAACUAUGAUCACUGUGCUGUACCUUAGAUCUUCAGAAUUUAUUCAUCCUGCAUAACUGAAACUUUCCACUCUUCGACCAACAUCGCCUUAUUUUAUUAUUAUUAUUAGUCCUCCUUUACAAACAUCAAACCAAGGAACAGGAAGGUUUAGCAACACGUUUAAAGUCUCACUACUAGAAAACGGUGGAUUCAAGACGCCAAUUCAAGUUCCUACUGCCCAAUUCUUAUCCACCAUAUUCUACCAUAGCCUGUGGAGUGCCAUGAACUUCACAGUUGUCCAGAACCUGCUUCGAAUUCUGGCACUGCUACAUGUUAGUUGUGUGGUCUUGGCAAAUUAUUCAAUCUCUCUGAAGUGCUGUUUAUUUAUUAAAUAAGGAAAAUAACACCUCCUUCCUAGCAGUGUUAUUAUAAACUGUAGCUGUUAGUAUUUUCAUUAAUGUAGAAGCUAUUUACUUGUUUUGUUGCUGAUUUUCUUGUGCUUUAAGGAAAAAAGUUACAAGAUUUUUCAAGCAGAAAGGAUUCUUCUGAUCCAAUGUUUCCCAUUUUCUUCCUCAUCUCUAAGAAUUUUACAUUUAUAUAUGCUCC